CGCCUCCGUUCCGAACAUGACGUCUUCUUUUGGUUUCCAAUUAUACCCUCUGUGAUGGCAUAACUAUUUAAUAAUACGUUCUCCAAAAAUUACCAUUUGAUUUAUUUGAUAUUGGUUUCUAAAGUCACACCAUGGCACAAUUUCCCGUCUUCAAGCUUCGUCUGUCCCUUUUUUAUGCUGUCUUUUUGAGCGAAAUGGACUUCCUUCUUAAUUUGGGCCUUGUCAAAAUAUAUCCUACUUAAGCUUUCUUUUGGAGGCCUGUACUAUCUCCAACUGCAGCAAUUUUCUUCCACUAUCCCGAAAGGAUCUUCUAUGCAACAUUAUAAGACUCCCUUUGCCGAAAAAUAAGAAAUAAAUUAGAGGUAAAGAAAUUACAAUUGACAGCAGGCCAAACGUAAAAGAAAUGGGACAUUUAAAGGCUCGUGAAUCUUCGGACUGAAAAGUUAAGGAUACCAUCUAUUACAUCUAUUAUUUCAAUUGGGCUAUUUUGUAAACCAUAUCCCGGGUGCGUCAUCAACCACUGGUUUCCAUCGGGCACAAUUGAAAUUGUACGCAAGACGUGAAGAAAUCAGAAGAAUAUAAGCUGGUGAAGAUAGAAAACUGAGAACAGGUCUGAAACAAGGAAAAACUUUGUAAUCGUUUUUGUAACAAUUUAUCGGUGAGUUGAAUAAGAUUACCCGAAAUCAUUUCACGAGACAUCGGAGCGUGCUGUUACCAUGGAUGACGAUUUCGGCACAUUCUUAUUGAACUCAUGGGAAGGAAAAAUGGAAACUAAAACACAUGCAACGAGGAUGAAUUUAAUGAAGGAUAACAAAAUUACAAUAAAAAACGUUAACAUCAUAGCUAUCAGUGAUUUGAAUAAGAUUUGACUGAAAUCACGACAGCCAAUAACACACAAUCAAUCGAGACCACCUAUGAUGAUGGCGAUUUCAGUUUUAGCUGAUUUGGAUCACGGAAAGGAAUCGUCGUUCAAAGGACAGAGCAAGACAACUUACAUCAUCGGUGAUUUGAAUAAGAUGCCAUUGAAAUCAAUUAUACACACACAUCCUCCAGGAAUCAUCAUCCAGAAAGGCACCGUGAACCAACAAACAAUGAUGAUUUCACAGACAUCUUAUUUGAAACAUGGAAAGGAAUAACAUAUUUGUUUAGACAUGCUUUUAAAGCAUCUGAAUAAGUUGACGAGACAGAUAUGAAGCCACUAAGUGAAAAAAAAAAAUUACUAUCCGGAUGGACCUCGAAAUAGCGCUAGUUUUAUCGAUGUAUUUUAUGAGGCCUACGUAAAAAGUGAAACUUUUUAUUUUGGCUUGAUAAAAACCAUGGAAAGGAUAUAAAUGUAGUAAAUGC